GGUAUAGCUCAAGUGGUAGAGCACACGCUUAGCAUGCAUGAGGUCCUGGGUUCAAUCCCCAGUACC
rnacentral:tRNA from 1 species